GUGCUUGUUUUGGCAGCAUGUGUACUGAAAUUGGAAUGAUACAGGGAAAAUUAGCCUGGCCCCUGUGCAAGGAUGACACACAAAUUCAUAAAGCAUUCUAUAUUAAA
ensembl:snRNA U6 U6 spliceosomal RNA